UGUUUAUCUCUAGGGUUGAUCUAUUAGAAUUACUUAUCUGAGCCAAAGUAAUUCAAGUAAUUCAGGUGUAGUGAAA
rnacentral:pre_miRNA from 2 species